rnacentral:rRNA from 1 species
UCGAGAAUCAUUGUCAAUGCACGAAAGUGUGAACAUGCGACGCCGCGUGGAGGAAGACGGCCUUCGGGUUGUAAACUCCUGUCAGCAGGGAGGAAAAACAGCAUCACUAAUAUUGAUGUUGUUUGACAGUACCUGCAGAGGAAGUCACGGCUAACUCUGUGCCAGCAGCCGCGGUAAUACAGAGGUGGCGAACGUUGUUCGGAUUUACUGGGCGUAAAGGGUCCGCAGGCGGUCCGGUGUGUCGGAUGUGAAAGCUCACAGCUCAACUGUGGAAUUGCAUUCGAAACUGCCGGACUAGAGUACUGGAGGGGAGAAGGGAACACUUGGUGUAGCGGUGAAAUGCGUAGAUAUCAAGUGGAACACCGGAGGCGAAGGCGCUUCUCUGGACAGAUACUGACGCUCAUGGACGAAAGUUAGGGUAGCGAAAGGGAUUAGAUACCCCUGUAGUCCUAACCGUAAACGGUGUGCACUAGACGUGGGUGGAUUUACCCCCAUCCGUGUCUGAGCUAACGCAUUAAGUGCACCGCCUGGGGAGUACGGUCGCAAGAUUA